rnacentral:tRNA from 1 species
GGAGGAGUGUCCGAGUGGCCGAAGGAGCACGAUUGGAAGUCGUGUAUGCGCUAAUCCCGCAUCGUGGGUUCGAAUCCCACCUCCUCCG